GACGAACGCUGGCGGCGUGCUUAACCCAUGCAAGUCGAACGGAAAGGCCCUGCUUUUGUGGGGGGCUCGAGUGGCGAACGGGUGAGUAACACGUGAGUAACCUGCCCUUGACUUUGGGAUAACUUCAGGAAACUGGGGCUAAUACCGGAUAGGAGCUCCUGCUGCAUGGUGGGGGUUGGAAAGUUUCGGCGGUUGGGGAUGGACUCGCGGCUUAUCAGCUUGUUGGUGGGGUAGUGGCUUACCAAGGCUUUGACGGGUAGCCGGCCUGAGAGGGUGACCGGCCACAUUGGGACUGAGAUACGGCCCAGACUCCUACGGGAGGCAGCAGUGGGGAAUAUUGCACAAUGGGCGGAAGCCUGAUGCAGCAACGCCGCGUGCGGGAUGACGGCCUUCGGGUUGUAAACCGCUUUCGCCUGUGACGAAGCGUGAGUGACGGUAAUGGGUAAAGAAGCACCGGCUAACUACGUG
rnacentral:rRNA from 1 species